rnacentral:rRNA from 1 species
GACGAACGAGGGAGGCGUGCCUAAUACAUGCAAGUCGAACGCUUCUUUCCUCCCGAGUGCUUGCACUCAAUUGGAAAGAGGAGUGGCGGACGGGUGAGUAACACGUGGGUAACCUACCCAUCAGAGGGGGAUAACACUUGGAAACAGGUGCUAAUACCGCAUAACAGUUUAUGCCGCAUGGCAUAAGAGUGAAAGGCGCUUUCGGGUGUCGCUGAUGGAUGGACCCGCGGUGCAUUAGCUAGUUGGUGAGGUAACGGCUCACCAAGGCCACGAUGCAUAGCCGACCUGAGAGGGUGAUCGGCCACACUGGGACUGAGACACGGCCCAGACUCCUACGGGAGGCAGCAGUAGGGAAUCUUCGGCAAUGGACGAAAGUCUGACCGAGCAACGCCGCGUGAGUGAAGAAGGUUUUCGGAUCGUAAAACUCUGUUGUUAGAGAAGAACAAGGACGUUAGUAACUGAACGUCCCCUGACGGUAUCUAACCAGAAAGCCACGGCUAACUACGUG